UGUCCUGCUUGCAUGGGAACUACACCGAAUAAUAUCUCAUAUGUGUAGUCACCAAUAAAGAAUGGGACACGUAUCUGCUGGGUGACAUCGAUUUUUUUACUGUCAUCCAACUAGUGCAACUUAUAGGGAGUAGGGUGUUGUUUGCACGUCAACCUUGCCCGAUUCACUAGUAAGGUAUUAGCAACGUUAGCACAAUUGCCUCCGUCAGCUAUCACACUACAGACCUUUCCAUUAACCAAGCACCUAGAAUGGAAAAUAGUCUCUCUAUGACUAUUGCCUUCGGGCUUAACAUGUAUGUUUAAUGCUUAUU
rnacentral:lncRNA from 1 species